GGCAAGUCCAUUUGAGAAGUGAAACAGUGUUGCAUUGAAUUCAAUGUAAUCCAUGAAAGCAUAUUCAUUUUGCAUUGCAAAGCUUUUAAAAUUAUGAUUCAAGAUGAAAAUGUCACUGGUUCGGCCUCUCUUUACCAGGAGAGGAUUCAGCACAAGCUCCGACAACCUUGUUGCUUCUGUGCUCUUUGAGAGAUUGCCACUGGUCAUUGAUACUUGUGAUCUCUUGCUUUUGUUUCCCACAAAAUUGAUUAUAUUACUGCUCCAUAGUUACAUUAGAGAGUUGAAACAAAGGCAAAUAUGUUAAGUUUGAAGGAAACAUGAUUGACUUUUGAGAAGCCCAGUUUUAA